rnacentral:rRNA from 1 species
UACGUAGGGGGCGAGCGUUAAUCGGAAUUACUGGGCGUAAAGCGUGCGCAGGCGGUUCGUGAUGUCUGGUGUGAAAGCCCCGGGCUUAACCUGGGAAUUGCAUUGGAAACUAGCGGGCUGGAGUGUGGCAGAGGGGGGUGGAAUUCCACGUGUAGCAGUGAAAUGCGUAGAGAUGUGGAGGAACACCGAUGGCGAAGGCAGCCCCCUGGGCUAACACUGACGCUCAUGCACGAAAGCGUGGGGAGCAAACAGG